GAUACUGAAACCAAAUUAAUCAACAACAACACCACUUCACCUUUUCACCUCUCACACCCGCGUGUAUCUAAAAUAGAUUUAAGCAACGGCAACGAACUCCACUCUUGGCAAGGCGAAUCUAAAAAAAAAAACUUGCGAAAACCACAAACAAAAUAUGUUAUAUUGGUCCAAGUCGAUUGUUCCUUUCCUUAAAAAAAAGCUUUACAAUUAGAAACCCAUAGAGAGGUACUUAAAAUCACUACUAUAGGAGAUAGUAGUAAGUUUCAACUUCAACCGAAAAAGAUUCGACUGACCUUUACAAACUUACUACUGCCGGGCUUCAUGGGAGACUUUGAGCA